UGCACACCUGGAUCCAUUUGCAUACAGGGGCCACCACCCAUUCCACACCUCAGUGUAAUUUGCAUACCUGGGCCACACCCACUGCACACCUCAGAGCAAUUUGCAUACCUGAGCCACGCCCACUGCAGACCUGGGACUUCGUGUAACAGCACAGGUGCCUCUGCCAGGUGUGCCCAGGUGCCCCCAGGUGUAUCCCAGGUGCCCCCAGGUGUAUCCCAGGUGCCCCCAGGUGUGCCCAGGUGUAUCCCAGGUGUGCCCAGGUGCCCCCAGGUGUGCCCAGGUGCCGUCAGGGGGUGGCAGGAGUGGCACCAGCAGCCUCAGUGCCCCCAGCCCCAGCGCCGCCGCCCCCAGGUGCGCCCAGGUGUGCCCAGGUACCUCAGGGGGGUGGCAGGAGGGGCACAAGGAGCCUCAGUGCCCCCAGCCCCAGCGCCGCCGCCCCUAGGUGUGCCCAGGUGCCCCCAGGUGUAUCCCAGGUGUGCCCAGGUGUCCCCAGGUGUAUCCCAGGUGUGCCCAGGUGUGCCCAGGUGUCCCC